UACGUAGGGUGCGAGCGUUAAUCGGAAUUACUGGGCGUAAAGCGUGCGCAGGCGGUUAUGUAAGACAGUUGUGAAAUCCCCGGGCUCAACCUGGGAAUUGCAUCUGUGACUGCAUAGCUAGAGUACGGUAGAGGGGGAUGGAAUUCCGCGUGUAGCAGUGAAAUGCGUAGAUAUGCGGGAGGAACACCGAUGGCGAAGGCAAUCCCCUGGACCUGUACUGACGCUCAUGCACGAAAGCGUGGGGACAACAGG
rnacentral:rRNA from 1 species